AUUGGUCACCGUGAGGAAGCCAAAUCUGAUCCGAGAGUCUCUUUCUAAUGGCCAGUACUGGCCACACUUUCUCCUGCCGCCCUCCUCAAAGCUGAAGACAACAUACAGCAAGCAGGAGUUCCACUAGUGUUCUACAGCUAGUGUUCUACUGACUGAGACAUCGUCACUGAGCUAAGGGACCAUCUGCAGCAGACCCAGCAAGCUAAAAGCUUCAUUCACUCCCAACCAGGCUGCUCAAUCCAGCGCCCAUUGUAGUCAGCCAAAGCUAACCCCUGCUCAGCCUGGCACAUUCAAGUGCGAUACCAGGCAAGAAGGCACAGAAAAAUACAAAGGAUUUACCUGGUACAUGCCAUUAUUCUGUACUGGAGACACAGCAGUCAAGAGGACAGAUCAAUACAGCUAUCUGACUCCAGAGUCCCAUCUCGACCAUCAUACUCCACUCCUUCACAGCAUAUACUUGAUGAUCUCAGUGAGAGUGAUGAACUUGCCCUAAGUCAGCCAGACUCUGAGCUAAUGUUUCCUCCAGGAAAGCCUGGACAGGGCUAUGAAUUCCGUUUACACAUGAUCUUAGCCAAAAGGCCAAGAAGGGAUUGAAUUCAGUUUAUAUACUUGAAACGGUAGGGUCAAAAGAGAUUAAAACCAUGAUCCUAGGCUCCCGAUCCACAUAUCAUAUAUACCCAAAUACAAGGGCAACAAUUUUCCCAAAA